rnacentral:lncRNA from 1 species
UGUCUUAUGGAAAUGAGCUGUUUAUUCUUGGUGGAAGAUGUCCUUGAAGAGUACUAUGAGACCUGGAAUGGUAAGAUGAUUAGUGAUAAUGGGUCUUGGGUGAUGCAAAGAAGAUGGAAACUAGAGUAUCCGAAGAUCUGCCAAGUGAACUGUACAUAAGAGGAAAAAAUAGCUCUGGGAAACACAGUGUAAAUCAAUGAGAAAACUGGAUUCAAGGCACAAAGUGCAGUUUGUACAUAACCUCUCCAGGAUGUUGCAGUCAUUCCAACAAUAUUCACAUUAGCCCGAACAUCUAUUGCAAAGGUAAGCAAGCAUCCUGCACUGAGCCAUGCAGUAACACCACAGCAAUAGCAAUGUUGCUGGACAGUCUCCUGCUUUCUGCUUUUCACAGUGCUGAAUCACCAGGUCUCACUCCUAGACCAGUGAGUGAAGCAAGUCAGUUAGGGAUGGCCUGGAGUAAAGUGGAUUUGAUCCAGAAACCACAGUGAUCUAUCAGAGGUUCUUGAACAGAGGGAUGAAGUGAUGGUGAGGAAGUAUUUGGGAAAGAUGAAUUUUGCAAGGGUAAGCAAGAUGGGCUGAGAUAGAAGCAGAUUUGCAAGGACAACUAAGAUGAAAUGCCAGCUAAGAUGUUACUGAUUGACUCAGGAUGAGGAAUAUUUCGGGGAAAUAACGCUAUAGGGAAACUAAAGGAAAUAUUAAUUCUAUACUUCACAAUUCUUUUUACUUUCCAUUUAAUUUGUGCUAUUUGUCUUACUGUCUUACUGAUAUCCCCAUUAGGCUGUACACUGAGGACAGAGCCCAUGUCUUCGACAUUUUAGUAUAGUGCUUUGCACAUGGUAAGUACCUAAUACAUAAAAUGUUUACUUUUAUUUGACACAUCCAGUGCUUGUUAAAAAAGUGCAUGCUUAUACAUAUAAAUCUUGUACAAAGAUUAAUGUUCCCUUUGUGGUAUGAUCUGAGAGAAAACUGUAUGUAGUGUGAAAAGAUUCAGAUGCUUGCAAGGAUAAAAUAAAAUAAACCAGGUACAUGAAGGGAAGAUUAGAAAUAGGGACCUAGAGAAAUAAUUUGAAAGGUCCGUGAGUCCUCAUUAUCUAGAGACUAGAAUGGUGGUUGCCAGGGGCUGAGGGGUGAGGAAAUGGGGAGACAUUGGUCAAAGGGUACAAACUUCCAGUUAUAAGGUGAGUAAGUUGCAGGAAGACAUCCAUACAGCAGGAUGAUU